CCCUCGCGCGGCCUGAGGGGCUCCGCGGGCCGGGCCUCGGCUCCGCCGGGCGGGCGCUCCGCCUCUCCGAGCGCUGCGCUGCGGGGGAGGGCAGCCCUGCCGUCAGCGGGACAUUGGGAGGGGGGACAACAUGACCGGUGAAGGACUUUGGUCGCUCGAAAGCACUGGGGAAGACCAAGAGGAAGAAAAAAUAAGGCCAUAAAUUUCCACUGGAGGGGUUUAAGACGGUAUCUCUGCAUGUCGAAAUCUGAAAAUCUUCCACAGCACCUACCAGAAUGCUGGCCAAAAGCUCAAAAUGUCCCAGCAGAGUCACGGUCUGGCAUUUCCUAUGAACAAAUAGCAGAUAAGAGAUUUUAAAAAGCCCCGUUUUGUAAUGACAAAUUGGUAGAAGGGUGUUUACACAACUGAGAACUGAAGAGUAAAAAUAAGGAAGUGUAACAGCAUUAUGACACUAGUGGGUAAUUUUCUGUAUCAGAGUUCCAGUAAGAUGAGUUUCUUGCAAGAGACUCAUUCAUAUCUUUUCUAAACUUUAAAAUUUCCUGCCAUAUGUGAUGACAUUUGUUAUAUAUAACAAUGGUAUUAAAUUUGAACUGUGACAGCA